AACAAAUAAACCUCCGUAAGCCCCAUGAAAACUUGAAGACAAAAGUUCCUAAAGAGCCAAUGUCUGGGCAGCAUUUUGUGGAAAAGCCACAGAGAUUAAAUGAUUUCAGCUCACUGAAAGAGAGUCUGUUUCCAGAGCUCUUCUCCUUGGCUAGAUUUUCAAACACACCAUGGCCUGAUCCCGUAGUCAAUGGAAGCUGAGAGUGAUCAGCACUUCCCAUGACCACGCUACAGAUCUUGUGGUGAUAUUAUUGGAAUCUUGAAAUUGGGACUAAUCCCUGACUUCCUAAUUUGUCGUCGUUUUAUUUUUUCAACAAAGGCAUACAAAGACUGCAUGAAUUCUUCUGGCAACAGUGUUGAACUAGGUGCUUGUGUUCAGUUGAUUAUCUACCAUGAAUCACAAGUCUUUUUCAGAGUUGCUGGUUCCCAGAAUAGAAUCCCCCCAUCCUAACUGAACUCUACAAUCUCUACUUCAACAGCAUAAACUGAUCAGUCACACACAAAGAUGCGUGUAAACUGGAGUAACUCCACUGAAGUAAAGUAACAAGAAGGUAAAAUCAGGGUGAAAGAGGAAGCAAGAGAAGUGGAAAGAGAGGUCAUUUUUCUCCAAACUAAAAAGUGAAUUCUCUCCGUUUAAAGCUCAAGGCACCAUGACUCUGAAGGAAGUUUCACCAGUUAGAAUGGAAGAGGGACCUGCUUUGCUGACAGGUGGCGGUGGGUUGCCAAAAUUCUUCAUCUAGAGUGGUGGUAAACCUAAAGUUGAAUAGAACAGUUUUCUACCUCAGUAAAUGAAGUUUCUGGAAAAAAGAUUAUGACCACAUAUAAAGAAAUGAAGCAGCAUUUGUGUAUCUCAUGCUGCCACACCAGUACAUAACAGUAUCCUAGCCAAAAUUAUCUACUUUUGAAAGAAACAUCUCAACUCCUGCAGUUUCUUAAACUCUCCACUGUAUGUUUUGAUGAUUUAGUUUUCACUUAUGGAUAUUCUAGACCACCAUCUAUUCCAAAGAUUGACACUCAGAGACAGAUGGACAGUAUGAUAUGGAAAGACAUGUAGGAAGCAGAAUUUCACCACUGUAAAGGUCACAUCAGAAACUAUAUUUCUCCUAAACAAGUGCCAGAUGACAAUGGUGAAUGGAACAAGAAGUUCCUCCUGUGGAGCAAGGGGGAACGAGAUUUUAACUUUCAAAGAUGCAACUGCCCUGAGUCACCCAGCUUCACAAGGAGGUGGAACACUGUGGAUGGACCUACUUCCUUUCAUCAGUCUCACUCCUUGACACUGAACAGCAAAUGGUGAGGUAAAGAAAGUUCGAACUGGAUUCAUUACUGGAAAGCAAUGCUCAGGUAAGCUAAGAUACCCUUUGAAUUGUAUGGACUCAGCAAAGUCAGAACAGGAAAUGGGGUUAUCUUCACCAUAUAUGGACAGUAUUGACUUGGUCCUUUGCCCCCCUAGUCUCACUCUUAGCUGUGCCAGUGGCAGUUAUAUUCUUUUAUAUUCAAAUCAUUUUUGAAAAAUUUCUGGGGCUUUCCUGGUAAAGGGUUUAUUUAAGAUACCCAAAUUAUAGUAAAAAGCCUAGAGAAUGCCUCAUUCUUAGAUUAGAUUGCCAUGCAGAACUGUAAACAAGCAACACUACUGGGAAAUUUGAUAGGUUUCAAAUGGAACUCUUCAGCUUGCAAAAUCUGCAGUGAGACCUGUCAGCUGCAGAGGAUCAGAGUUACAGAAUAAUCUGCCUGAAGACCUCUCUCUUUAAAGGCUAUUCAAACUAAAGCCAAGGUAACUGAAUGCAGCACUUAAUCAGUAACCAUUAAACAUAUAAUCAAACAUAGUCUUACAGAAUAGAGUAUUUCCAGUCUUAUAAAACAAAUUGCCUUAAAUCUGAGGGAGCAAGAAAAGCAGAGUUUAGAAAUCACUCUGCUGAAAAGAGAGCCUGUGAAUUAAUCAUGUAAGCAUACAAAAACACUAAUAGUUUUGAACACUGAAGGUGAAAGAACAUUUGUUCACCAGAGGUCACUCUUCCAACUCAGGGGGGAAUUUUAAAGAACACAUGUUGGAAAAUUUGCCUCAGUAUUUUUGUUAUUUCACCCUUGGGCACCAUUUGCCUAUGAAAAUAGAUUGCAAUGUAAAGCAAUUAGCCUGGUAGCCAAUGUGCAUCAUGGUGCUGAAACCCUUCAGGGAAGAGUCAGUGUUGCUUAAAGUAACAAUAGCUCACUGCUGGACCUAAUUCUCAUGAACAAGUAUUUACUUUUUUUUUAAAAGUCUGCUCCAAGCUAGGAUUAGAAUGCGCCAACUCCUGAUACAAAAACUAUGCUCUAGUGCCAGCACUACAAAGGUAGCUGUAACCAGACCCUCCCAAGAAAUCUAAUAGGGAAGGACAGGAGACACUAAGGGGGAUGUUUAAUGGGUGGCAACAUGUGAGGGUAUGUUUGUGGAGACAGGAGACAACACAUCUGUGCAUGUGAGGUUCUCUGAAACCAAUCCUGACCUGGUGGGGAUACCUGUAAAGAUGAAGGGGGUGGGGGAGAGAGAGCAAAUGAUAUCAGGGAGGUUACAACACAGCAACAGUAACUGGGGAACCAGCUGCAAAGUUCAGUCAUGAGCCCUUUUCCGACCCCGUUUAUGCUCUGCAUUUCCUGAAUUGUCAGGGAAAGGUGAUGGAAAGUAGCAUUUUCUUAUUUAAACUUUAAACCUGGAAUUUGGUGCCUCUCUUUCAGUAUUUUGCCAGGUUAGGCACACAGCUAUCUACGUACACUGAUGCUUAACUAUUAAACCACAUUAUUCUGUUGUCAAGAGAUACCAUCUUUUGUCUGUAAGAGAGUUCAACAGUUGUGUGGUACCAUUUUUAACUAAAAAUAAUAAUAACUUCCUCUUAUUUCACACUAAGUAAUUAAUUUAUAACUAAAGGUUUUCAUUUAAAUUACAGUAAGGUAUAGUGUAUGAAAAGUAUAUGUGAACAGCAUUAAGGUUUUGAGUGUAAAUGCACAAUAAAACCCACAUUAAAGUUAUACUCCUUAAAGUUGCCUGCAUCUCUAUCUCUCUCUCGUUCUCUCUCUCUCUCACGCACACACACAAGAUAGAUAAUCGUGAGGGACCCAUUUUCUGGCCCAAUGAAACUCCUUUGUGCCACUCACUGGAGUGACACAAAGCAGCCUUAAAGGUGUCCUAAGUGGCCAGCUGGGGAUUCUCCUUAUGUAGGUGAAUCCCAGCACAGCACAGAGUUGGCAUAGCUAGCCCUCUGCCAGCCCUCUGGUCAGCCUUCAGCAUAGCAUACUGGGGGUGCACUGAAGAGGGUGCAUAGCUGAAGCAUACUGCAUUCUGGCAACUCCUAACUUCUGGAACAGCCCGUUAGCAGCUGUUGCAGGUGACUGAAAGUUAGAGCAACAUUAGGGCUUCUCUAAUGCACAUGGGGCCAAACUGGCCCCUAGCAACUCAAUGAUAUAGUGCAGUGCAUAAAAAGGACUAACACAGAAAUGGAAUCCAAUCAAUAUAAUUCUAGAGCUAUUAUUAUUUACUAACCACAGUACAGUCAGGGCGCCCAGUGCUGCUCAGCCGCUGAACUAUGCAAAACAAACAACAAGGCUUUAUUUUAAAGGAGACAAUUGUCUACAGUGGGGAGCAUGUUAUGGCUAGAAUGCUUCAUAAAAUUAAAAGAUUGUUAAAGGGUAACCAUGAGCAUUUUCUCCUUCUGAUCUUUCCUAAAUCAAUUUACAAAGAAGUCUUACAUUAUACCACCAGCUUCAUUUAACCUCAUUAGUAGAGCUGCCGCCGAUCGCGGUUUUUGGGGGGUUUUUUGGUCGGGGUUUUUUUUUUUUUUUUUGCUGCUUGGGGUGGCAAAAACACUGAAGCCGGCCCUGAUGAGAAGACUUUUUUUUUUUUUUUUGGAAAAUAUACAAAGUGUAAUCAGUAUUGCAAAAGACAAUGGGGAGAGCAGAAGUAGAAUAGCUGGAAAUUAUGUUCACAAUGCUUUAGAGAGAGAGAGAGAGAGAAGAAACAAAGAAGGGAAAUAAUGCUAGUCUGAAAAUGGAAAGUGCGGAGACAAUUGGAGGACUAAGUCCCAUUAGCCUCCUGUCUCUAGCCUACAAAUUGCUAACCUUGGUAGUGAGCAAGUGACUUACUGCAAAUUGGAUUCCAACCAAGUAAAGGAAUGAGCAGGCUUUCAAUCAAUCCUGCACACUAAUAAUGCUGAAUGAAAUACUGACAAAGAUGGACAAAUAUAAUCUAUCACCAUGCAUGGCAUUUUUCCAUUUUUUUUCUUCAUUUUAACGUGAAUUUAGUGCUCACAAAAGGUGCCAGAUUGAUAGCCCAAAAGACUGAAGUCUUUUGUUUUUCCAUAGAAUAGGCAUAGGCAAAGCUUCCGCAUGCAACCCAGCCAAUAAGUUACAUCCCACCUCUGGCUGGAGCACCUUUGGAGGGGGUAGAAAGAGAAUUCAGUGAAGGUUUCUCUGCUGGGACUGCCAUAAAGUUAAUUCAUGCCAACUGUAGCAGUGGUGUUUUUCUGUAACAUGGCUUUGGAGCCUAAGAACCAGACUGAAACCACUAAUACAAUGGUCACCAAGCAGUGAGUAUAUGGUAAGGACUUCCAAACACUCCCAACUUUUGUGAGCAUUGAACCAAAGGCCUGGCGGUGCAAAGCUCUGUCCCCCUUCCCCCCUCUUACCACCUUAUCAUUUGAUUACCUGAGCCAUCCUGCCCUCUCUGUGUAGAUCACUUAUUGACAACAGGAAAAGCUUGUGACCUAUUAAUGGAACAGAAACCCCUUCCAUUGACAGGUCUUCAGAACUGAAGUAUGGAUAUGGCCAAUGCAUUUAGUUUCUACCAAAACAUAACUUGGUCUUCACUGUAUAUGCAGUAAGAAGAUCAGAAACAAGAGAGAGAGAAACAAGAUACAUUACCCAGGCCUCUGCUUGCAAAGAGAGAAUGGAGAGGAGAAAGCAUUGAACACCAGCUGGAAGGAAGUAGUUGAACCAACUCACAUUUGCAAGAUGGUCUUGUCUUCAUAGCUAACAUGCCAUGACCUAUAAGAGUUAAUACAGAAGCUCAAUUCAGCCAUGAAAAGGAAAAGAUCACCAUAGAUAAUAAUGUCAUUGAUCAAGAAAAGUAUGUCUCAGACAGCUCUUCAGAUCUGAAAGAAACCAGAUGGAAGAAAUGAAGAGAAGAGCUAAGCCAGGCCAAAGAUUCAUCAAGAAGAUGAAAAACAUUGUGAGGGGUAAUGUUCCAAAAGGAGGUGCAUAAUCAGCCAUGCUUCUGCUGAUAGCAUCCGGCUCAGAGGCAUAUCUUGCCACCAAAACAAAUGAAACAGGAAAACCGUUGCCUGCCAAAGCUAUGCUACUUUGGGUGACACCCACUGCUAAUACUUCAGGUACUACAAUGGAAUAGUCAGACAGGAAGGAUGGCCCAUCAGCGAGGACAAUGGACUGUGAAAAGCUUGGCCUUCCUGCAGACCCUCCAUACUGCCACUGACUCAUGGACUCUGUGAUCUUACAGAGUCAAGUGGUCUUGUCACCUGAUACUAAAUGUUACCUGGGACUUCUUGUAACUUUCCACAGGAAGGGAAGAGGGGUCAAGCUUGGAAAACAAAGGAUUCCCACCUUAUGUAAAUCCUAUUUAAGGGUAAAGCGGAAGGCAAACUGGAUUCCUCCUCUCCAUGGCCUAUCUGGCCAAGAAGAAAGACUGCUAGAGCCACCUGAAGGGAAGGCAAGGGGAGAGUCCAGACUAAGACAGGGCUCCAGUCUGAAAAGGAAUAUAACUGGAACUGUGAACCACAGAAACUUUGCAAUGUGCCUAAAAUAACAUUUAGGGUGA